GACAGAGGGUGCAAACGUUGUUCGGAAUUACUGGGCGUAAAGCGCGUGUAGGCGGUGCGGUAAGUCGGGUGUGAAAGCCCUGGGCUCAACCCAGGAAGUGCAUUCGAUACUACCGUACUAGAGUCCCGGAGAGGUUGGGUGGAACUCUCGGUGUAGAGGUGAAAUUCGGUAAGAUAUCGAGAAGAACACCGGUGGCGAAGGCGGCCACUGGACGUGACUGACGGCUGAGACGCGAAAGCGUGGGAGCAAACAGG
rnacentral:rRNA from 1 species